rnacentral:rRNA from 1 species
GAUGAACGCUGGCGGCGUGCCUAAUACAUGCAAGUCGAACGCUGGAAAUCUAGCUUGCUAGAUUGAAGGAGUGGCGAACGGGUGAGUAAUACAUAAGCAACCUACCCACGAAGACUGGGAUAAUCUCUGGAAACGGGGACUAAUACCGGAUAGGUAAUCGGAAGGCAUCUUCUGAUUAUUAAAGGUUAAAAACACUGGUGGAUGGGCUUAUGGCGCAUUAGUUAGUUGGUGAGGUAACGGCCCACCAAGACGAUGAUGCGUAGCCGGCCUGAGAGGGUGAACGGCCACAUUGGGACUGAGACACGGCCCAGACUCCUACGGGAGGCAGCAGUAGGGAAUUUUCGGCAAUGGGGGAAACCCUGACCGAGCAACGCCGCGUGAGUGAUGACGGCCUUCGGGUUGUAAAGCUCUGUUGUAAGGGAAGAACGGUAGAUAGAGAAUAUCUAAAUGACGGUACCUUAACAGAAAGCCACGGCUAACUACGUG